GCAUUUUGUAUGAUAUCUUUAAAUAAAAUACUCUUUAAAGAUUUUUUGUAAAUUACAUUUUAUAUUAAUUUAAGUCUAAACAAAAGUUACUUUAAUUAUUGCCAGGUUGUGUAUUUUUGCAGGUCAAUUAUUUGGCACAAAUCGGAGUUAAAGACAAAGGAGAUUGUAUAUUUUAUUUGCUAAGAAUAGUUUUUUAAAAUGGCCUAGUUGUAAAAUUAAACUAUGCAGGGAGAGGACAAAAAAUUGGAAUAGAAAAAAUAUUGAUUGCAUAUGCUGCUAUUGAAACUGUGAAGUCAAAUAAGCAUGGCUUAUGCAGACAUGUGAUAAAGAUAGAGGAAGAAAAAAUAAUAGACGUGGGCACCAAAUAUCAAAAGCUAAACAAUAUUCAAUAACAAGUAGCUCAGCCAAUAUCGAAACUACUCUAUAAAUUUUAUAGUUAAUUUUUUUAUUUAAAA
rnacentral:lncRNA from 1 species